rnacentral:rRNA from 1 species
CCAAUAGCGUAUAUUAAAGUUGUUGCAGUUAAAAAGCUCGUAGUUGAAUUUCGGGAUCGAGGGAUCGGUCAUGCUUUUGUAUGUACUGGUUUCAUCGGUUCUCACCUUCUAAAGAACCAUAAUGUCAUUCAUUUGAUGUUAUGGGGAAUUAGGACUGUUACCUUGAAAAAAUUAGAGUGUUUAAAGCAGGCUUACGCUUGAAUACAUUAGCAUGGAAUAAUGAAAUAGGACAUCAGAUUCUAUUUUGUUGGUUUCUAGGAUCGAUGUAAUGAUUAAUAGGGAUAGUUGGGGGCAUUAGUAUUCAAUUGUCAGAGGUGAAAUUCUUGGAUUUAUUGAAGACUAACUACUGCGAAAGCAUUUGCCAAGGAUGUUUUCAUUAAUCAAGAGCGAAAGUUAGGGGAUCGAAGACGAUCAGAUACCGUCGUAGUCUUAACCAUAAACUAUGCCGACUAGGGAUCGGAUGAUGUUAAUUUUUUAAUGACUCAUUCGGCACCUUACG